UAUCAAUUCCUUCGUGUCAUUUUGUCAAACCGGAAAAGAAAACCCAAACCCCAUUUCUUUUCUCUCUCCCGUGAAACCCAAAACCCCAACCCCAGCGAAAACCCAACCUCUCUCUCUCUCCUAUAUUCGCUGCCUUCUCGUCGGAAUUCGGUUGCUCGCCGGCGUUCUUGUUGUUCGCCGGAGUCCUCCUUUCUUGCCGUUCGCGUCGUUGCUGCCGGCGUGUUUUUGCUUGUUGUUCUGUUCUUUUCCGUCUCCUUUACUUCAACGUUGUUGUUGUCGGUGUUCGUUGGUGGUCCGCCGCCGCCGCUAAUGGUGGUGUUGGCCGUUUUUUUUUAAAAUUCGUUUUCUCUCUCCUCUGCUUCUGUGCUGCUGCUAUUGUCCGGUUGGUGUUCAGAUGUCGCCGCCACUGUGGUGCGCCAAGGUCGUUGUUGGUCUGUGAUUGGUUUCAAAUGUCUUUUGCAAUCAAGUGAGAAGGUUGCUAAUUGUUGCUAUUGCUGUUGAGGUGAAUGAUUGUGGAAUUCAAACUCUUUUGAGUGAAAAUAAUGGAUUAUUAGAGUCAAUUUCGGGGCUUGAGCAAUAUUUGAAGUUUAAGUAAAGAGUUCAUUGUUAGUGACCUUGCAGGUUCAUGUGUGGAAAGCUCGGAAUGGAUGAAAGGAAGAAUUUGGAUAUUAAGGUUAUGAUUAGAUUUAAUAGUUCAAAGGUUGUAUUUGGAAGUAUUCAAGUUCUUAGUGAAAGAUUUAAUAUUCUAUUGUUUUGGGUGUAGAGUAAAUUGUAAUUUGUUAUUGGUUGUGAAGUUAUAUUGUUGCGGGCCCUGACCCACAGGUCCAGGAUCGCUUUAAGGUUUAUGUUUCCGCUGCGAGUAAUUAUUAAUUUCAGGUUAUUAAGCAUUAAUUGUAAUGAGUGUAUCUUAAGUAUGUUUAGCUAGCAGCUCGGAAGUGCGGGCUGUUACAGUUAUGAAGGAUGAUGGUUGGAAAGCCUUUAUGUAGGAUGAAAUAAAUGCAUUGGAGGGAAAUGGUACUUGGUCAUUAGGACCUCUUUGUCCUGGCAAGCGUGCUUUGGAUAGUUAUUGGGUUAAUAAUAGAUAUCUGAUGGUUCUAUAGAAUGUCUUAUUCCCAGACUUGUUGUUUUAAUUAAUCAUCAAGAAGUCGGAAUUAACUACAAUGAACUUUUGCUCCUGUCAUCAAAA